rnacentral:rRNA from 1 species
AGGUUAAGUGAAUAAGGGCGCACGGUGGAUGCCUUGGCACUAGGAGCCGAUGAAGGACGGGACUAACACCGAUAUGCUUUGGGGAGCUGUAAGUAAGCUAUGAUCCAGAGAUUUCCGAAUGGGGGAACCCAAUAUCUUUUAUAGGAUAUUACUUUUCAGUGAAUACAUAGCUGAUUAGAGGUAGACGCAGAGAACUGAAACAUCUUAGUACCUGCAGGAAGAGAAAGAAAAUUCGAUUCCCUGAGUAGCGGCGAGCGAAACGGGAAGAGCCCAAACCAACAAGCUUGCUUGUUGGGGUUGUAGGACUCCGAUAUGGUAGUCUGUUAGUAUAGUUGAAGGAUUUGGAAAAUUCCGCUAAAGAGGGUGAAAGCCCCGUAGACGAAAUGCUGACAACACCUAGGAGGAUCCUGAGUACGGCGGAACACGAGAAAUUCCGUCGGAAUCCGCGGGGACCAUCCCGCAAGGCUAAAUACUCCCUAGUGACCGAUAGUGAACCAGUACCGUGAGGGAAAGGUGAAAAGCACCCCGGAAGGGGAGUGAAAUAGAUCCUGAAACCGUGUGCCUACAACAAGUCAAAGCUCGUUAAUGAGUGAUGGCGUGCCUUUUGUAGAAUGAACCGGCGAGUUACGAUUGCAUGCGAGGUUAAGUCGAAGAGACGGAGCCGCAGCGAAAGCGAGUCUGAAUAGGGCGAAUGAGUAUGUAGUCGUAGACCCGAAACCAUGUGAUCUACCCAUGUCCAGGUUGAAGGUGCGGUAAAACGCACUGGAGGACCGAACCCACGUACGUUGAAAAGUGCGGGGAUGAGGUGUGGGUAGCGGAGAAAUUCCAAACGAACUUGGAGAUAGCUGGUUCUCUCCGAAAUAGCUUUAGGGCUAGCCUCGGAAUUGAGAAUGAUGGAGGUAGAGCACUGUUUGGACUAGGGGCCCAUCUCGGGUUACCGAAUUCAGAUAAACUCCGAAUGCCAUUCAUUUAUAUCCGGGAGUCAGACUGCGAGUGAUAAGAUCCGUAGUCGAAAGGGAAACAGCCCAGACCACCAGCUAAGGUCCCAAAAUAUAUGUUAAGUGGAAAAGGAUGUGGGGUUGCACAGACAACUAGGAUGUUGGCUUAGAAGCAGCCACCAUUUAAAGAGUGCGUAAUAGCUCACUAGUCGAGUGACCCUGCGCCGAAAAUGUACCGGGGCUAAACAUAUUACCGAAGCUGUGGACUACACCAUUAGGUGUAGUGGUAGGAGAGCGUUCUAAGGGCGUUGAAGGUCGAUCGUGAGGACGGCUGGAGCGCUUAGAAGUGAGAAUGCCGGUAUGAGUAGCGAAAGACAGGUGAGAAUCCUGUCCACCGUAUGACUAAGGUUUCCUGGGGAAGGCUCGUCCGCCCAGGGUUAGUCGGGACCUAAGCCGAGGCCGAUAGGCGUAGGCGAUGGACAACAGGUUGAUAUUCCUGUACCAGUUGUUUUUGUUUGAGCAAUGGAGGGACGCAGUAGGCUAAGGAAUGCAUGCGAUUGGAAGUGCAUGUCCAAGCAAUGAGUCUUGAGUAGAGUUAAAUGCUUUACUCUCUAAGGACAAGUUGUGACGGGGAGCGAAAUAAUAGUAGCGAAGUUCCUGAUGUCACACUGCCAAGAAAAGCUUCUAGUGAGAAAACAACUGCCCGUACCGUAAACCGACACAGGUAGUCGAGGAGAGUAUCCUAAGGUGAGCGAGCGAACUCUCGUUAAGGAACUCGGCAAAAUGACCCCGUAACUUCGGGAGAAGGGGUGCUGACUUCGGUCAGCCGCAGUGAAUAGGCCCAAGCGACUGUUUAUCAAAAACACAGGUCUCUGCAAAAUCGUAAGAUGAAGUAUAGGGGCUGACGCCUGCCCGGUGCUGGAAGGUUAAGAGGAUGGGUUAGCUUCGGCGAAGCUCAGAAUUGAAGCCCCAGUAAACGGCGGCCGUAACUAUAACGGUCCUAAGGUAGCGAAAUUCCUUGUCGGGUAAGUUCCGACCCGCACGAAAGGCGUAACGAUUUGGGCACUGUCUCAACGAGAGACUCGGUGAAAUUUUAGUACCUGUGAAGAUGCAGGUUACCCGCGACAGGACGGAAAGACCCCAUGGAGCUUUACUGUAGUUUGAUAUUGAGUGUUUGUACCACAUGUACAGGAUAGGUAGGAGCCGAUGAGACCGGAACGCUAGUUUCGGAGGAGGCGCUGGUGGGAUACUACCCUUGUGUUAUGAACCCUCUAACCCGCACCACUAAUCGUGGUGGGAGACAGUGUCAGAUGGGCAGUUUGACUGGGGCGGUCGCCUCCUAAAAGGUAACGGAGGCGCCCAAAGGUUCCCUCAGAAUGGUUGGAAAUCAUUCGAAGAGUGUAAAGGCAGAAGGGAGCUUGACUGCGAGACCUACAAGUCGAGCAGGGACGAAAGUCGGGCUUAGUGAUCCGGUGGUUCCGCAUGGAAGGGCCAUCGCUCAACGGAUAAAAGCUACCCUGGGGAUAACAGGCUUAUCUCCCCCAAGAGUCCACAUCGACGGGGAGGUUUGGCACCUCGAUGUCGGCUCGUCGCAUCCUGGGGCUGUAGUCGGUCCCAAGGGUUGGGCUGUUCGCCCAUUAAAGCGGCACGCGAGCUGGGUUCAGAACGUCGUGAGACAGUUCGGUCCCUAUCCGUCGCGGGCGUUGGAAAUUUGAGAGGAGCUGUCCUUAGUACGAGAGGACCGGGAUGGACUUACCGCUGGUGUACCAGUUGUUCUGCCAAGGGCAUUGCUGGGUAGCUAUGUAGGGAAGGGAUAAACGCUGAAAGCAUCUAAGUGUGAAGCCCACCUCAAGAUGAGAUUUCCCAUUUCUUUAAGAAAGUAAGACCCCUGAGAGAUGAUCAGGUAGAUAGGUUGGAAGUGGAAGGCUAGUGAUAGUUGGAGCGGACCAAUACUAAUCGGUCGAGGACUUAACCAAAAA